AUGAGGGCUCGCGGCUCGGCCCCCGGCCUCCUUCUGCUCCUUCUCUGUCCGGCGCAGGUGUUUUCACACAACUGUGUUUGGUAUGGAGAGUGUGGGAUUGCAUCUGGAGAUAAGAGGUACAAUUGUGAAUAUUCUGGACCACCAAUACCAUUGCCAGAGGCUGGGUAUGACCUAGUGCAGGAACUCUGCCCAGGGUUCUUCUUUGACAAUGUCAGUCUUUGUUGUGAUGUUUGGCAACUUCAGACGCUGAAAGACAACCUCCAGCUGCCUCUACAGUUUCUAUCCAGAUGUCCCUCCUGCUUUUAUAACCUAAUGAACCUGUUCUGCGAGCUGACAUGUAGCCCUCGACAGAAUCAGUUUCUGAAUGUAACAGCAACUGAAGAUUAUGUUGAUCCUGUUACAAACCAGACGAAAACAAAUGUAAAAGAACUGGAGUACUAUAUCGGAGAAAGUUUUGCCAAUGCGAUGUACAAUGCCUGCCGGGACGUGGAGGCCCCCUCCAGUAACGACAAAGCCCUGGGACUGCUGUGUGGGAAGGAUGCGGCAGCCUGCAAUGCCACCAACUGGAUCGAGUAUAUGUUCAAUAAGGACAACGGACAGGCACCUUUUACCAUCACACCCAUUUUUUCAGACCUUCCAGUCCGUGGAAUGGAGCCCAUGAACAAUGCCACCAAAGGCUGCAACGAGCCUGUGGAUGAGGUCACGGGGCCGUGCAGCUGCCAGGACUGCUCCCUCACCUGCGGCCCCAAGCCCCAGCCCCCGCCCCCACCCGCCCCCUGGGUCAUCUUCGGCUUGGACGCCAUGUAUGUCAUCAUGUGGAUCACCUACAUGGCUUUCCUGCUUGUGUUUUUUGGAGCAUUUUUUGCAGUGUGGUGCUACAGAAAACAGUAUUUUGUCUCUGAGUACACCCCCAUUGAUAGCAAUAUAGCUUUUUCUGUAAAUGCCAGUGACCAAGGGGAGGCAUCCUGCUGCGACUCACUCAGCGUGGUGUUUGAGGGCUCUUUGAGGCGGCUGUUCACGCAAUGGGGGUCUUUCUGCUUCCGGAACCCUGGUUGUGUCCUUUUCUUCUCCGUGGUCUUCAUUUGUGUAUGCUCUUCGGGCCUGGUGUUUGUCCGAGUCACCACCAACCCAGUUGACCUCUGGUCAGCCCCCAACAGCCAGGCGCGUCUGGAAAAGGAGUACUUUGACACGCACUUUGGGCCUUUCUUCCGGACAGAGCAGCUCAUCAUCCGCGCCCCCCACACUGACCGGCACACUUACCAGCCGUACCCUUCAGGGGCUGACGUGCCCUUUGGACCACCUCUGGACAUUGGGAUUUUGCACCAGGUCCUUGACUUACAAACAGCCAUUGAAAACAUUACUGCAUUUUACAACAACCAGACUGUGAUGCUUCAAGACAUCUGCUUGGCUCCCCUCUCGCCGUAUAACAAGAAUUGCACCAUUUUGAGUGUGUUAAAUUACUUCCAGAAUAGCCAUGCCAUGCUGGACCAUACAAAAGGAGAUGAAUUCUAUGUGUAUGCAGAUUACCACACACACUUUCUCUACUGUGUGCGGGCUCCAGCCUCUCUGAAUGAUACAAGUGUGCUCCACGAUCCUUGUCUGGGUACGUUUGGAGGACCAGUGUUCCCGUGGCUUGUGCUAGGAGGCUACGAUGAUCAAAACUACAACAACGCCACUGCCCUUGUGAUUACCUUUCCUGUCAAUAAUUACUAUAACAAUACAGAGAAGCUCCAGAGGGCCCAGGCCUGGGAACGAGAGUUUAUUAAUUUUGUAAAAAACUACAAGAAUCCAAAUCUGACCAUUUCUUUCACUGCUGAACGAAGUAUUGAAGAUGAACUGGAUCGUGAAAGUAACAGUGAUAUCUUCACUAUCAUCAUAAGCUAUGCCAUCAUGUUCUUAUAUAUUUCUGUAGCCUUGGGGCACAUCAAAAGCUGUAGAAGGUUUCUGGUGGAUUCCAAGAUCUCGCUGGGCAUCGCAGGCAUCCUCAUCGUGCUGAGCUCUGUGGUGUGCUCCUUGGGCAUCUUCAGCUACCUCGGGCUGCCCCUCACCCUCAUUGUCAUCGAAGUCAUCCCGUUCCUGGUGCUGGCUGUCGGUGUGGAUAACAUCUUCAUCCUGGUCCAGGCCUACCAGAGAGAUGAACGUCUUCAAGAGGAAACGCUGGAUCAGCAGCUGGGCAGGGUCCUAGGGGAAGUGGCUCCUAGUAUGUUCCUGUCAUCCUUUGCAGAGACUGUAGCAUUUUUCUUAGGAGGCUUGUCAUUGAUGCCGGCUGUUCACACUUUCUCCCUGUUUGCGGGAAUGGCGGUCUUCAUUGACUUCCUUCUUCAGAUUACCUGUUUUGUGAGUCUCUUGGGGUUAGACAUUAAGCGUCAAGAGAGAAAUCGGCUGGAUAUCCUUUGCUGUGUCAGAGGCACUGACGAUGGAACAAGUAUCCAGGCCUCAGAGAACUGCUUGUUUCAGUUCUUCAAAAACUCCUAUUCUCCACUUCUGCUUAAAGACUGGAUGCGGCCAAUUGUGAUCACGGUAUUUGUGGGUGUUCUCUCAUUCAGCAUCGCAGUCCUGAACAAAGUAGAAAUAGGAUUGGACCAGGCUCUCUCAAUGCCAGAUGACUCCUACGUGGUGGAUUACUUCCAGUCCCUAAGCCGGUACCUGCACGCGGGUCCUCCCGUGUACUUUGUGCUGGAGGAGGGGCACGACUACACGUCCCUGGCAGGGCAGAAUGUGGUGUGCGGAGGCACAGGCUGCAACAACGACUCCCUGGUUCAGCAGAUAUUCAACGCGGCUGAGCUGGACAGCUAUACCCGAAUAGGCUUCACUCCCUCAUCCUGGAUCGAUGAUUAUUUUGAUUGGAUUAAGCCUCAGUCCUCUUGCUGUCGAGUUUAUAAUACCACAGAACAAUUCUGCAAUGCUUCAGUGGUGGACCCUGCCUGCGUCCGCUGCCGGCCCCUGACUCCAGAGGGCAAGCAGAGGCCUCAGGGCGAAGACUUCAUGAAAUUCCUGCCCCUGUUCCUUUCUGACAACCCGAACCCCAAGUGCGGCAAAGGGGGACACGCUGCUUAUGGUUCAGCAGUUAACAUCCUUGGCAACAGCACUGCGGUCGGAGCCACGUACUUCAUGACCUACCACACUGUGCUUAAGACCUCGGCUGACUUCAUCGAUGCCAUGAAGAAAGCCCGCCUUGUGGCCAGUAACAUCACCGACACCAUGGGCAUUAAAGAAAAGAAUUACCGUGUGUUCCCCUACAGCGUGUUUUAUGUCUUCUACGAGCAAUACCUGACCAUCGUGGAUGACACAGUCUUCAACCUCGGCGUGUCCCUGGGCGCCAUCUUCCUGGUGACCGUGGUACUGCUGGGCUGCGAGCUGUGGGCCGCGGUGCUCAUGUGCACCACCAUCGCCAUGGUCCUGGCCAACAUGUUUGGGGUCAUGUGGCUGUGGGGCAUCAGCUUGAAUGCCGUGUCCUUGGUCAACCUGGUCAUGAGCUGCGGCAUUUCUGUGGAGUUCUGUAGCCAUAUCACGAGAGCAUUCACCGUGAGCACGAAGGGAAGCCGCGUGGAGCGGGCGGAGGCGGCACUCUCCCACAUGGGCAGCUCGGUAUUCAGUGGAAUAACAUUAACCAAGUUUGGAGGAAUUGUGGUGUUGGCCUUUGCCAAAUCUCGGAUUUUCCAGAUAUUUUACUUCAGGAUGUAUUUGGCUAUGGUCUUACUGGGAGCUACUCAUGGAUUAAUAUUCCUUCCCGUCUUGCUUAGUUAUAUAGGACCAUCAAUAAAUAAAGCCAGAAGUCGUACCACUCAAGAGUGCUACAAAGGUACAGAGCAAGAACGACUCCUAAAUUUCUAGCCCUCUCGCAGGCUUGAGUGACUUUGACCCCCUGAGGGCUGGUCAGUUUGCCACACUGGACAGGAGCUGCAGUCUCAAGGCCACAGUGAACACGGAUGUCACCAAAACAUCACGUUAACAGCAGCCGCUUCAGACGUAGCGCUUUUAAACUCAGGAAUGCCAAUCUGACUCAUGAGGCAGUAUUACUAAAACUAAAACCAAAGGCAACCCCAAGACACUAACGCUGCUUCCAAAUUUCCAGGAAAGAAACCUAAUUCUUUGGCAAGACCUUUGACAGUUCUUGGUCCAGGAGAGGCUGGAGAGCUGAUACGUACCUUCCUUUCCACGAACACCGACAGGACAUGGGUGUACAUGUCAGACUGAUCAACAACAGCCUGGGUCCGCACAGGCCGUUUCAGAAGUGGACUGCUUCGGCUCUGCCCUGCCUCUACUGCCUAAAAUAAGAAAACAAACUGCUGUGGUCAGAACCAUCCUCUUAGGUGAAUGGUACAAUUAACAGUUAAUCCAAAAAGACUGACUUCCUAGAUGCUGUACACCUGAGAUAUGAACAGAGGAUGAUACUUAAUUCACCGUGUGGAUAAAAGUUUUUCCUGUGUUGCCUGGGGAAGUUUUAGGAAGUCAGGGUUGAUCAUCUUGAAAACGCUCCCAAUGUUCAUGGUGGAUGGAACUAAAAAAGCAGAAGUCAUAGUUUUCUCUCAAAGACACAGCACACUUUUUUUUUAAUCUCUUAAAAUAGCUCCUUCUCUAGUUUUUGUAAUCACUGACUCUCCAGGCAUUUGUUACCUAAUAAAGAUGAAAUGGUCUGCUGCAUCCUGGUUUUAUGAAGUCCUGAUUCUACAAUAAAUGAAUACCUCUUGAAAAA